GUGAGGUACUUGGUUUGAAAAUGCAGAGUCCAGAUCUCAUCGAGAACUGCCUGGAUGAGAAGACUCGAGGCGUCGGUGACUCUGGUAGGUCUGAGCUUGCCUGAGCCGCCCUUUCUAAAGAAGCAAUGGAAUACGCUGCCUUAUCACGUAGCCUACUUUACUUCGUCACCAUCUCUGUGUCUUGUGCACACAUCGUUUCUGUCAGCCCCACGGAGCUGAGCUAUGACUGUGGCUGCUCGCCUGUGGCUGUCUACAGUCACGUGCUGCUGCGGGUGACAAUCAAACAAAUGGUUCACUCAGAAGAGCGAGGGCAAUCUGCAGGAGAGAGAAGUGAAAAUUAUACCAGACCCUCCUUUAUGAGGAGACUCUAGCACUACAUCAGACAGCCCUCUGCAGUCUCUGGUUGCUGAGAGUUGUGGCAGGUGAUACGGGCAAGUUUAUGUAGGAAAUUCUUUUCUGGCAGUUGAAGAAAAGCAGAGUGGCUGUCUUGUCUCACCGUGGCUCAUGAAUACGUGCCUUUUGAAACAGAUCCGGACUAAACAUACCAGUCAAACUUCUUAUUUCCCAGUCGGACACCAAAAAUGGGUCACUUGAAUAGAACAUGUAUGUUUGUAUAGAAUAUGGGGUGUAAGGUAGAGGGGUUCACCAUUUAUGUAUGGUCCACCACGAAGCAUCGUUUUUGAGUAGUUGGGCUUUUUUGAGAUGUCUGUGCAACUCACAUUGAAGGAUACAAUAAAAUGUAGGUGCACAAUCAGACCCAUUUGUGUGUCUUAUGUCUGUAGCUAUGUUCAGGCUGCUGUGGCAGAAUGGGGUAAUUACAAGGAAGCUUAAAAUUCUUACCAGUAGCUCUGCAAACAGAAAGCUCCAGGUGCGUGCAUGUGGCUGAUUCCUGGUCAAAGCUCUUUCGUUUGGUUAUAGGUGAUUGUCCCCCACUGUGUUCUCAUGUGGCAGAAGGUUACAGCUAGCUCUCUGAUACCUGAUAUCACAUAAGAGCCCUAAUUCCAUCAUGAAGCUACCUGACCUCAUUUGACCAACGGCCUCCCCAAGUUUACCUCCAGUGACUAUCACCUUGAAGGCUAUAAAACUUCAUUCUAGAAAAAGGCUGAAAAUUUUGAAUCAUCACAUGAAAACAUUUAUAACCCAAUGAAUUAAAAUUCAAUCUCUAUAACUAAAAAAGUACAAAAAUAAAUCUGAAUACACAUGCACUCAUAUGUGCACAGGUACAGGUACUAAUGCUAAGGAUAUUCAAAUAACUAUU
rnacentral:lncRNA from 1 species